GUGGGUGGCAGGCGUUGUCCGGAAUUAUUGGGCGUAAAGCGCGCGCAGGCGGUUCUUUAAGUCUGAUGUGAAAGCCCACGGCUCAACCGUGGAGGGUCAUUGGAAACUGGAGAACUUGAGUACAGAAGAGGAAAGCGGAAUUCCACGUGUAGCGGUGAAAUGCGUAGAGAUGUGGAGGAACACCAGUGGCGAAGGCGGCUUUCUGGUCUGUAACUGACGCUGAGGCGCGAAAGCGUGGGGGGAGCAAACAGGAUUAGAUACCCUGGUAGUCCACGCCGUAAACGAUGAGUGCUAAGUGUUAGGGGGUUUCCGCCCCUUAGUGCUGCAGCUAACGCAUUAAGCACUCCGCCUGGGAGUACGGCCGCAAGGCUG
rnacentral:rRNA from 1 species